ACCCCCGUAGUCCAAGAGCAGAGACAUCCGCCUCAAAAGCGGAAAAGUGUGAGUGCAAGUCUCACCGCGGGCA
rnacentral:tRNA from 2 species